CCUGGGAACUGCGUUNUGAACUGGGUAGCUAGAGUAUGUCAGAGGGGGGUAGAAUNCCACGUGUAGCAGUGAAAUGCGUAGAGAUGUGGAGGAAUACCGAUGGCGAAGGCAGCCCCCUGGGAUAAUACUGACGUUCAUGCUNGAAAGCGUGGGUAGCAAACAGGAUUAGAUACCCUGGUAGUCCACGCCCUAAACGAUGUCGAUUAGCUGUUGGGCAGCUUGACUGCUUAGUAGCGUAGCUAACGCGUGAAAUCGACCGCCUGGGGAGUACGGUCGCAAGAUUAAAACUCAAAGGAAUUGACGGGGACCCGCACAAGCGGUGGAUGAUGUGGAUUAAUUCGAUGCAACGCGAAGAACCUUACCUGGUCUUGACAUGUACGGAAGAACUCAGAGACGAGUUUGUGCCUUCGGGAGCCGUAACACAGGUGCUGCAUGGCUGUCGUCAGCUCGUGUCGUGAGAUGUUGGGUUAAGUCCCGCAACGAGCGCAACCCUUGUCAUUAGUUGCCAUCAUUUAGUUGGGCACUCUAAUGAGACUGCCGGUGACAAACCGGAGGAAGGUGGGGAUGACGUCAAGUCCUCAUGGCCCUUAUGACCAGGGCUUCACACGUCAUACAAUGGUCGGUACAGAGGGUAGCCAAGCCGCGAGGUGGAGCCAAUCCCAGAAAACCGAUCGUAGUCCGGAUUGCACUCUGCAACUCGAGUGCAUGAAGUCGGAAUCGCUAGUAAUCGCAGGUCAGCAUACUGCGGUGAAUACGUUCCCGGGUCUUGUACACACCGCCCGUCACACCAUGGGAGUGGGGGAUACCAGAAGUAGGUAGGGUAACCGCAAGGAGC
rnacentral:rRNA from 1 species